GGCAGGGUAGCUCAGCUGGUGAGAGCGCCGGAUUCAUAACCCGGAGGUCGGCGGUUCAAUCCCGCCCCCUGCUACCA
rnacentral:tRNA from 2 species